UAUCUCUGGUUUCCCUUCAAAACGUAUAAAUCUUUCGCCUUUUACUAAAGAUUUCCGUGGAGGGGAACACUCAAAUGAGUCUAUAAUAUUUUUGAUGCCCUGACUUGUCAGGGU
rnacentral:snRNA from 9 species